GACGAACGCUGGCGGCGUGCUUAACACAUGCAAGUCGAGCGAAGCCUUCGGGCUUAGCGGCGGACGGGUGAGUAACGCGUGGGAACGUGCCCUUUGGUACGGAAUAGCCCCGGGAGACUGGGAGUAAUACCGUAUGUGCCCUUCGGGGGAAAGAUUUAUCGCCAAAGGAUCGGCCCGCGUUGGAUUAGGUAGUUGGUGGGGUAAUGGCCUACCAAGCCGACGAUCCAUAGCUGGUUUGAGAGGAUGAUCAGCCACACUGGGACUGAGACACGGCCCAGACUCCUACGGGAGGCAGCAGUGGGGAAUCUUAGACAAUGGGGGAAACCCUGAUCUAGCCAUGCCGCGUGAUCGAUGAAGGCCUUAGGGUUGUAAAGAUCUUUCAGUGGGGAAGAUAAUGACUGUACCCACAGAAGAAGCCCCGGCUAACUCCGUGCCAGCAGCCGCAGUAAUAC
rnacentral:rRNA from 1 species